rnacentral:sRNA from 1 species
UCGACCAAGGUUCGACUCGAGCGCCAGCGAGAGAGCGUUGCCGCAGGCAACGACCCGAAGGGCGAAGCGCGCAGCGUUGAGUAAUCCUUCCCCCACCACCA